AACGUAGGUUCCGAGCGUUAUCCGGAUUUACUGGGCGUAAAGCGCGUUCAGGCGGUUUGGCAAGUCGGGCAUGAAAUCUCUCGGCUCAACCGGGAGAGGUUGUCCGAUACUGCUGGACUUGAGGGCAGUAGAGGGUGGUGGAAUUCCUGGUGUAGCGGUGAAAUGCGCAGAUAUCAGGAAGAACACCCGUGGCGAAGGCGGCUCUCUGGGCCGAUACUGACGCUGAGGAGCGAAAGCGUGGGGAGCGAACAGG
rnacentral:rRNA from 1 species